GUUGGGUACUGGUUUAAAGGAAGCACCAACCGUAAAGGUUACCUGGCAGAAUUUUGUGAAUUCCAUGAGAGCGAGUACAUGGAAAUGCUGCUGCACAUUUCAGUGCGAUGGUUAAGCCUGGAGAGGUGCAUCACACGAAUUCUGCGACAGUAUGGGCCACUUACCAGCUAUUUUAAGUCUUUAAAUGAGAAACAACCAAGAUUUAGAAGGCUGGUGGAUGCAUUUUCAGACCCCCUGACUGAAGUCUACCUACUCUUCUAUCAAGCGACGCUGCCAGUGUUCACCCUACUGAACCUCCUCCUCCAGAGAGAAAGGUCUUCCAUCUUUCCUCCACGGAGAGGUAAAAUGCAAGGGUUAGGCCAUCCUGCUGCCAAAUACAGUAUGUCUGCUUGAAUUGGCUGAUAUGUCCUUUUUCAAGUAAUACAUGGAAAUGUUUUAUGAACUACACAUUUGCAGAUGACAAAGUUCA